AUUGAAUACUAAUAGGAAAAUGAUAAGCAAAAAAGAAAAUGUUUGCAAAAAAAGAAUAAAUAUAAUUACGUAUAAGUGUAUAACAGCACGUCAAUAUCGCCUUUUCCAAACACCAGAAUAACAAUUUCAUAUGAUAAUAUUCAGGGGCAUGCUCACGUGAAGGAUAUCAUAUCCCUCAUGAGCCUUUUUUUCACCUAUUACCAGUAGUUGUAUUCAUAUCGUUUCCCCGAAUACACCUCCCCCCCACACACGAUUUAAAAAUCCUGAGUACUGAUAAUAAUAUUUAACAUAUUAUAUUAUAUUAUUAUAAUUCAACAUCAACAAAUUUAUAAAACUAUAGAAGGGAUGGUUGAAGGGACAACUUACUCCCUUAAACAUAGUAUUCUGAGACGACCAAAUGGACUUAGAGAAAUAUUUCUAGAAUAAAGAAGUUAAUCAGUUAACCGAAUGCAGGUAACUAAAAAUACGACGGAACAUAUUUCCAUUUAAUUGAAAACUAUAGUAGACAACGUAUUUGUGAGCCCACGACUAUUUUAGUAAAAAAAAACUAAACUUAAUUUUAAAC